AGAUCUUCCCAGGUCUAUGGGGGCUUGGCAGAAGGGUUUUUGUCUCUAAACUCCUCCCAUGAUAGUUAUUGCACGUACAAGCUUAGGACCCCUUAAUUUCUGCAGCUGAAUUGGAGGACUGUUUGCUUUCACCAACUGACUUGUCUCUUGGUUAUUUUACAAUCUUCCCAUAGCUUCUGCAAUAAAACAUCGACAGUAUUUUGCUGCCUGGUGGCACGUUCCAGGAGGAGCAGGUCUGUGUGUUUGUCAUGCUCGCUUGCACAUAGUAAACCCAUUCUUUAUAUUCAGCUGUUGGCCAAUGGGGGGCAAUAAAUGAUUUAUAACCAUGGCAACAGUUGCUGCGGGAAACUGACAUCAACAAGAAUCUUUUUCAUGUCCACAUCAAUGAAACUAUUAAAAAUCUUCCCACUCUGAAUCGGGUGAGACCAUUUGUGACAACUUCCCCAGAACUGGCGUAGAGCAAAGCAGCGGGUUGCGAAUUCUGGUGUGGCUGUGAGGAGCUGCUGCCUUAUUUCCCUCCAUUUAAGCAAGAACACUGGCAAGAUGCCUGCCCUCCCCUGAGAGCCUCAUCCUCCAGGUGUCUUCAAGUCCAAUUUCUUAGUGAGUGGUGACAGUUUAAUGCCUUGGGACUGAAUUGCGGAGGAGAAGUUGAGGGGUGAUGGAUUGCCAGAGGAAUGCUGAAACCUGAGGACUUUAUCAUGCCAGGUCCUUCAGCCCAGAGUUUUAAACUUCUCUGGGUACUGAUGGAAGCAUGUAAAUAAGAACAAAGAUGAAGGUA